UAACUACUCCCUCCGUCCCAAAAUUCUUGUCUUAGAUUUGUCUAAAUACGGAUGUAUCUAGUUAUAUUUUAGUAUUAGAUACAUCUGUAUCUUGACAAAUCUAAGACAAUAAUUUUGGGACGGAGGGAGUAUCAA
rnacentral:pre_miRNA from 1 species